UAAAAGAAAAAAAAUCUGAGCUUUAGGGAA
rnacentral:piRNA from 1 species